UGUGGGGAAGGUAUAUCACACACCAGUUCUGCUACGUAGUUCGAAUUCUUCGAGCUCAAAAUUGGUCCGAAUUCAAAAUGACGUCGUUUUAAAUUUUUUUUUUUUCUUCUGGCAGCAGAAGAACAAAGAAGAAGAAGAAGAAGAAGAAUGAGAAAGAAAGAAAGAAGAGAAAAUGAGAGCAGCAAAGCAGAGUAGAGAGAGAGAGAUCCAAAAAUGACGUAUCAUCAUCAACAACGUAUCAUCAUCUCUGUGUGAGGGGAAGCAGAAGAACAAAGAAGAAGAAGAAGAAGAAGAAGAAGAAGAAGAAGGAGAAAGAAAGAAAGAAGAGAAAAUGAGAGCAGCAAAGCAGAGUAGAGAGAGAGAGAGAUCCAAAAAUGACGUAUCAUCAUCAACAACGUAUCAUCAUCUCUGUGUGAGAGAGAGAGGCAUCGACAACAUAUCAUCAUCAACAAUCCAAGAG